rnacentral:rRNA from 1 species
CAAUAGCGUAUAUUAAAGUUGUUGCAGUUAAAAAGCUCGUAGUUGGAUUUCUGGUGGGAGCGAUCGGUCUGGCGCUUAGCGCGAGUACUUGCAUCGUCUCCGGCCAUCCUUGGGGAGAGUCUGUCUGGCAUUAGGUUGUCGGGCAGAGGAUCCUCAUCGUUUACUGUGAAAAAAUUAGAGUGUUCAAAGCUGGCUUAUGCCGUUGAAUAUAUUAGCAUGGAAUAAUAAGAUAGGACUUUGGUACUAUUUUGUUGGUUUGCGCACCAAAGUAAUGAUUAAUAGGGACAGUUGGGGGUAUUCGUAUUCCGUUGUCAGAGGUGAAAUUCUUGGAUUUACGGAAGACGAACUACUGCGAAAGCAUUUACCAAGGAUGUUUUCAUUAA